GCCCCGCGCCCGCCGCCUAAUUGUCUCCGCCGCCCGUCCCCAUCUGUCCCUCUCCGCCCGUGUGUGUUUUGGCCUUUGUCUCGCCGCCCUGCGCUGACACCCUCUUUCAAAGCCCACUUCUGUCGCCCUUCACCGAUCGCUUCUGCCCCAUUAACCCAUCGGCACGAGGCUCCCGCAACAAAGGCCCGGAGUCGGGCGGACGCGCGCGCGCCCGCCCAUUGUCCGCCGCUGACCCCGCGGCCCCCAGCCUGGCCCGGCCGGCCCGACGGGGCGGGGACGGGGUCGGCCUUGCAGAUAAACACAGAAGGCGUCCUGCCCGGGCCGCGCUCCGCCCUCAGUGAACGGGACGGGACAGGACGGCCGCCUUGGCAAGGCCGGCGAGCAGCUGCCGCCGCGGGAACCGCGGGCCUGCCCGCCGGGCAGCUAAUCCGCCGCAGGCCCCUUUGUCCCUCGCUGGACGUGAAGCUGGCAGAGAGAGCGGCUGGAGAGAGAGCAGGCCCGCCGCCUGGCGUGCCUGGUAAACAAAGAGAAGUGUUGCUGAGCGGGGCUGCCGUCCUCCGGUUCCGGUUCCCGGUCCUGCCCGGGGAAGGAGAGCAGGCCCCGCCGACCUGGCACAGGGACUCCUCCCGGUGCGGCUGCAGCACAACCCUGAGCCGCGGCCCGAGGCUACAGCAAAUGGUCGCUCCCAUCCACUGGGCCUUGUGGGGGUUGGGGGCGGGGGCUGCGUCCAGGAGGUGCUGCACAGAGCCAGGAGCUUUCUCUGGAAUCUACGGGCUGCUCCUGGGCGGUGGCUGGGCUGUGCCGCCGGUGGAUCCGCAGCUGUGGUCUCUCUUCACUCUUCUGGAGACCCCUGUCUGGCCCAGGGCUCCUUCUUUGACCAGUGAGGCAGGAGGAAGGUGGCGUGUGGCCCAAGGGCAUCAGAAGGUCACCUUUUUCUGCAGCGGGUGUGGUGCCAGCAGGAGGUGGAUGGGCCCAGGCAGAGCAGAGCUGUGGGAGGACGCCAAUAAGCAGUGUGGUCUUGGCGACAUCUCUGUAGUCCUGGAGACCCCACUUUUUACACCCAGAUUCUGCCUGCUUUCAUUUUCUAUCCCGCAAGUGCCACUCCCUGGGCCUAGUGGUGGCCCUCUGCAAGCCAGUCCUCAAGACACCAAUGUGUCCCCUGGAGACAUCCCAUGUCGAGGCUAGGAGAAGGAAGUUCCUGUUUCUAAGCCUGUCUAGACUACUAGUUUUUUUAAUUCAUUAAACAUUUAAAAUAAAGGGAUGGCAAGAGAAAGAAGAGCGAACACGGUAGGGCUGCCCAAGGCACCUGCGGCGCCCCAGCAGGAACUUGCUGACGGGGCUGUCACUGUCCAUGCCCCAGCCCCGGUGCUGGGGGACCCGAGGCCUGAUUCUGGGCAGCUCUGCCGUCUCCCUGCUGACCUAAUGACGGGUAACCAUGAAUCUUUUCAGAGGGUCCGGUCGUUGCCAAGAGUCCAGAAAGAAAAGGCCCCUUGUCUCCUUCCACCCCGUUGCCUGGAUCCCACGGCGCACUCUGGUUUUCCUCCUACAGGGACUUUACACAUCAGUGUCACGCUGCAGCACAAGUCCAGGCCCUCUAUGCUUCAGGUGCAGCUCAGAAUUCUGACCCCAGCUUGGUCCUCAAGCGCUCUGCACGUGACAACUUCUGCAAGUGUUUGGGCAGAAGCAAAGGCUGACGACAGAGUCCAGUACAGCCGGCAGGACUGGCAGAGUCACCUCCUGGGAGCCUGCCACCAUAGCUGGAGACCAGAGGUCCAGAAGCUGGAGUCGGGCCAGCAACGAGCGGCACGGAGCCCAUCCAGCGACUCGCACACGAGAAACUGAGGCAGGCACUGGAGGCGACAGAACGGAAGUCUGCAGGAGAGCAUAGACUCAGGUGGCCGCCCCCCUCAGCCCCCCUGCCCACCUCAGUCUGAGCUCAUUGCUGCCCAGAAGUUUCUGAUUCAUGGCAGCAGCCA
ensembl:lncRNA